rnacentral:misc_RNA from 1 species
GAAAUGCGAUAAGUAAUGUGAAUUGCAGAAUUCAGUGAAUCAUCGAAUCUUUGAACGCACAUUGCGCCCGCCAGUAUUCUGGCGGGCAUGCCUGUCCGAGCGUCAUUUCAACCAUCAAGCCCCCGGGCUUGUGUUGGGGACCUGCGGCUGCCCGCAGGCCCUGAAAACCAGUGGCGGGCUCGCUGUCACCCCGAGCGUAGUAGCAAUCACCUCGCUCAGGGCGUGCUGCGGGUUCCGGCCGUUAAACAGCCUUACAAAACCCAAGGUUGACCUCGGAUCAGGUAGGAAGACCCGCUGAACUUAAGC